rnacentral:tRNA from 1 species
GUCUUCGUACUGUAAUUGGAAAACAUGUCCGACUAGCAAUCGGAAAAUCCGGAUUUCGAGUCCUGGCGAGGGCA